ACACGACCGUACCGCAAACCGACACUGGUGCGCGAGAUGAGUAUUCUAAGGCGCUUGAGAGAACUCAGGAGAAGGAACUCGGCAAAUUGACACCGUAACUUCGGAAGAAGGUGUGCCUUUAGUAGGUGAACCAUUUACUUGGGGAGCCCAAUGAGGCUGCAAAAAAUCGGUGGCUGCAACUGUUUAUUAAAAACACAGCACUCUGCUAAGACGAAAGUCGACGUAUAGGGUGUGACGCCUGCCCGGUGCUGGAAGAUUAAAUGAUGGGGUGCAAGCUCUUGAUUGAAGUCCCAGUAAACGGCGGCCGUAACAAUAACGGUCCUAAGGUAGCGAAAUUCCUUGUCGGGUAAGUUCCGACCUGCACGAAUGGCGUAAUGAUGGCCACACUGUCUCCUCCUGAGACUCAGCGAAGUUGAAAUGUUUGUGAUGAUGCAAUCUCCCCGCGGAAAGACGGAAAGACCCCAUGAACCUUUACUGUAGCUUUGUAUUGGACUUUGAACAGAUCUGUGUAGGAUAGGUGGGAGGCUUUGAAGUGUGGUCGCUAGAUCGCAUGGAGCCAACGUUGAAAUACCACCCUGGUGUGUUUGAGGUUCUAACCUAGGUCCAUUAUCUGGAUCGGGGACGGUGCAUGGUAGGCAGUUUGACUGGGGCGGUCUCCUCCCAAAGUGUAACGGAGGAGUUCGAAGGUACGCUAGGUACGGUCGGACAUCGUGCUAAUAGUGCAAUGGCAUAAGCGUGCUUAACUGCGAGACUGACAAGUCGAGCAGAUGCGAAAGCAGGACAUAGUGAUCCGGUGGUUCUGUAUGGAAGGGCCAUCGCUCAACGGAUAAAAGGUACUCUGGGGAUAACAGGCUGAUACCGCCCAAGAGUUCAUAUCGACGGCGGUGUUUGGCACCUCGAUGUCGGCUCAUCUCAUCCUGGGGCUGUAGCCGGUCCCAAGGGUAUGGCUGUUCGCCAUUUAAAGAGGUACGUGAGCUGGGUUUAAAACGUCGUGAGACAGUUUGGUCCCUAUCUUCCGUGGGCGCUGCAGAUUUGAGGAAGCCUGCUCCUAGUACGAGAGGACCGGAGUGGACGAACCUCUGGUGUAUCGGUUGUCACGCCAGUGGCAUUGCCGAGUAGCUAAGUUCGGAAGAGAUAACCGCUGAAAGCAUCUAAGCGGGAAACUCGUUUCAAGAUUAGAUCUGCCGGGGCCUUGAGCCCCCUAAAGAGUCGUUCAAGACCAGGACGUUGAUAGGUCAGGUGUGGAAGC
rnacentral:rRNA from 1 species